ACUUCUCUCUUCUGCCUCCUAGUGAAAAAGGUGCCUGCUUCUCCUUCUGCCAUGAUUAUAAGUUUCCUGAGGCUUCCCCAGCCAUGCGUAACUGAGUGAGGACCUAGAAUUUUAAUGUCUAAUAUGCGGUGUGAAUUAAAGAAGCGGCCUUGCUAUGCUGACCUUUUCAAUAUUCUAAUCUUUGCUUUGCUGACCUCUCAGGCCUCUUCCUGGCAACAGUUAGGCUUUUGAGAGGAGAGAGAGCUGAGACUGUUGGCUCCUUCCCAUUUAUGAGAGAGCCACAUGACAUCAGCCCAUAGACUGUGGAGAGUAUUCCAGAUCUAUCACAUUCUGCGAUUCUGCGAUUCCCAGAAGGCUGGUCAUGAAAAAAUUCCCUCUUCAGUUUACAUAUAUGGCAGUGCUCCAGUGCCAUGACAGUUUUAAUCUUCUGGUUCCAUCUGCAUAGAUUUCAGUCUCUAAUUGAGGAAAAUCAUCUGUUUUUCUCAGGAGCCCCUUGAUUCAAGUUUACACAAAAUGUGCCUUUGGAGACUAUCCUGUUAAUUUAAACAGUUCAGAUCCCACUUGUAUGUGAGACAGAUGCUUCUCUGGCCAUCAGCCAGGUACCACUAAAGGAGGUACAGGCCUCUGGGCCAGUGAUGGGAGGGGCUGCCUUGAAGAUGUCUGAAAUGCCCUGGAGACAUCAUCCCCAUCAUCUUGGUGAUUAACAUUCAGCUCCUCUUUACUUAUGGAAAUGUAUUCAGCCACCUUGAGUUGCUCCCC
rnacentral:lncRNA from 1 species